rnacentral:piRNA from 1 species
UGCCCAAAUCAAAGGCAGAUGAUUGGCUGC